AAAGAGAGCUGCAAACUGGUGUAAACAGCUGUUUCUACACGCCUCCCCCUGCUGAUUUUAAGUACUUUUUGUGAAUGCUCUGCUGUAAAGAAAUAAUGCU